GCGCACCAGUCGCGAAACCUCCGCAAUACACGAAAGUGUAACGGGGCCAUCCCGAGUGCCGUCCGCUGAGGACGGCUUUUCCCCAGUGUACAUAGCUGGGGGAAUAAGGAGAGGGCAAGCCUGGUGUCAGCCGCCGCGGUAAUACCAGCUCUCCGAGUGGCGGGGACGCUUAUUGGGCCUAAAGCAUCCGUAGCCGGCUAGGCAAGUCCUCCGUUAAAUCCAACGAUUCAAUCGUUGGGCUGCGGGGGAUACUGUCCAGCUUGGGGGGCGGGAGAGGCCGACGGUAUUCCCGGGGUAGGGGUGAAAUCCUAUAAUCCCGGGAGGACCACCAGUGGCGAAGGCUGUCGGCUAGAACGCGCCCGACGGUGAGGGAUGAAAGCUGGGGGAGCGAACCGGAUUAGAUACCCCUGUAGU
rnacentral:rRNA from 1 species